rnacentral:lncRNA from 1 species
GUGGUCUGCUUGAGCUCCCACCAACGUCCUGCUUCCCCUACUAACAUGUAGGAAGCAAGGGCAGCUCUCUGCUCAGGAACUACUCCCAAGGUCCUGAAAGCUCUCUCAGUCUCCGCCAGCCAGUACUGGGCCUCUUCAAAAGAGGAUCCCCCUGCAAAGGUGGAGGGGUUCAGUCUCCUGUACCUCUCUAUGUAGCCUGGGUUGAUCAAGGAAGGAGCGGGGUCCCGUGGAGGAGGGACUGGACCCAGCUGGGGAUAGACUGGGGGGUCCUGUGGUGGCACCUACUGAUAUGAUGGGGGCACUGGGUUGUGC